rnacentral:tRNA from 1 species
GCCUGGGUAGCUCAGUGGUAGAGCUCCUGACUAGAGUUGCAGGGGUCCUGGUUUCGAUUCCUGGUCCAGCCA